UAAGUUCAUGUGUAAAUAAUGAAAUGUUGUUUCAUGUUUUAAUGUUUUAUUAAUGUAUGAGUCUCUAUGUUUAAUUGUUACGAGAGUGUAUGAAUAACAUUGUGAACGAGUUCGAUGAAUAUGAGACAUUGAGAAAACCCCGUUUGAAUCUUAGGAAUAGAUUAGGAUACGAGUGAAAUGUCACUAGGAACUAUAUGUGUUGAGCUCAUGAAAUAUGUGAUAUGUGUCUAUGUGAAUUCGGGCGCUGGUUUUGAAAAUGAGUAAGUUAUGCCUAUGUAACUAUGAUGACAUAUCUGUAAAUCAUGUUAUGUUAAUUGUAUAGUAUUCAUGUUUAUGUUGCUAUUUAUUUGCAUGUGAAC
rnacentral:lncRNA from 1 species